AUACGGAGGGUGCAAGCGUUGUUCGGAAUUACUGGGCGUAAAGCGCGCGUAGGCGGUCUGUUAUGUCAGAUGUGAAAGUCCUCGGCUCAACCGGGGAAGUGCAUUUGAAACUGGCAGACUUGAGUACUGGAGGGGGUGGUGGAAUUCCCGGUGUAGAGGUGAAAUUCGUAGAUAUCGGGAGGAAUACCGGUGGCGAAGGCGACCACCUGGCCAGAUACUGACGCUGAGGUACGAAAGCGUGGGUAGCAAACAGGAUUAGAAACCCCAGUAGUCC
rnacentral:rRNA from 1 species